AACCCAUGGUGAGGGCACCUUCUCAAUAAAUCCUUGUAUCUCUCCCAUGCAUCGUAACGUGUUUCUAAGUCUAUCUGCACAAAAGAAGAGAUAUCAUUACGCAACUU
rnacentral:snoRNA from 1 species